rnacentral:misc_RNA from 1 species
UGAGUUUGUACUUGUUUAUCUUAGUUAUUGAUGAGUUGACCAAUCGUAUUGAAGAUGAUGUCCUAUGUUGCAUGUUAUUAGCAGAUAAUAUUUUCUUAAUGGAUGAAAUUAGUGAAGGAGCUAAUCAAAACUUGAAGUUUUAGAGAAGAACUCUUGAGAGCAAGAGUUUUAAACUAAGUAAAAGUAAGAUUGAAUAUAUUCAAUGCAAUGUAGCUCUUGUAGAAGGAAUAGAGGUGAGAUUCGAUUGUAUGGAGUUUUGUUGCCUAAACGCAAUCAAUUCAAGUAUUUAGGUUUGAUCAUACAGAAGAAUAGAUCUUAAAAUGAGGAUGUAAUCAAUAGGAUUAAUACAUGAUGGAUGAAAUGGAGGAGUGUGACAGGUGUAUUAUGUGAUCGUAAAAUCUCUAACAAAGUGAAAGAUAGGUUCUAUAGGACUGUUGUUAGACCAGCUACAUUGUAUGGGGGUGAAUGUUAGGGAAUGAAAAGUAGAAAUUCAAGCACACAAAAGAUUAUAGGAAACAUUAAUGAAGUAGUUUGUAUUACUUAGCAGCAAUCCAAUACACUUUCCAAAGGAUAAAAGAAAUGAAAGGAGAAGGAAUUCCCCUCCAGCAGUAGAAAUUGCCCACCAAGUUGAAGAUUCAAUUGGCCAAACAACAAAAUGCUCAAUACAAUUUUUGAUGAUCCCAUUACCUCUUUAUUCUCUAUUUAUAACUUUUGUCUUCCUCAUCCCAUAUUACCUGAAAUUUUCUCUGAUUGACUUGCUGGCUCUAGACCCUUUUGGAUGCCAGGCUGGAUAACUAUCUCUUCAUCUAGAAUUAUCUUGGACCGCCUGAAAUAAACAUGCCAAGUGGUGUAUUCUCAUGAUUACCGCCCCUUGCCAAAAUAGCCUUGUCCUUAAGGCUAAAUUCAGGAAAUGUCACUUUUAGGUUGCAUCAUCAGUGGAAAGACGUUGCCACUUAAUCAGAAUUUGAGGAAUCAAUAUCCCAUUCUGUUCAAUAUUUCUUUUAUUGAGAACUUGGUCUGGAUAGAUAGGAAAAGAGUUGUCUACUGCCAUAUCUGGAGAUAGGGGUGAGCAUUCGGUUCGAAUCGAACCG